AUUGAACGCUGGCGGCAUGCCUUACACAUGCAAGUCGAACGGCAGCGCGGGCUUUGGCCUGGCGGCGAGUGGCGAACGGGUGAGUAAUACAUCGGAACGUGCCCAGUAGUGGGGGAUAGCUCGGCGAAAGCCGGAUUAAUACCGCAUACGACCUGAGGGUGAAAGCGGGGGAUCUUCGGACCUCGCGCUAUUGGAGCGGCCGAUGGCAGAUUAGCUAGUUGGUGGGGUAAAGGCCUACCAAGGCGACGAUCUGUAGCUGGUCUGAGAGGACGACCAGCCACACUGGGACUGAGACACGGCCCAGACUCCUACGGGAGGCAGCAGUGGGGAAUUUUGGACAAUGGGCGAAAGCCUGAUCCAGCAAUGCCGCGUGUGUGAUGAAGGCCUUCGGGUUGUAAAGCACUUUUGGCGGGAACGAAAAGGACUGUGCCAAUACCACGGUUCGAUGACGGUACCCGCAGAAUAAGCACCGGCUAACUACGUG
rnacentral:rRNA from 1 species